rnacentral:rRNA from 1 species
GGUUGACCUCGGAUCAGGUAGGAGUUACCCGCUGAACUUAAGCAUAUCA